rnacentral:rRNA from 1 species
UACGGAGGGUGCAAGCGUUACUCGGAAUCACUGGGCGUAAAGAGCGCGUAGGCGGGAUAGCAAGUCAGAUGUGAAAUCCUAUGGCUUAACCAUAGAACUGCAUUUGAAACUGUUAUUCUAGAGUAUGGGAGAGGUAGGUGGAAUUCUUGGUGUAGGGUAAAAUCCGUAGAGAUCAAGAGGAAUACUCAUUGCGAAGGCGACCUGCUAGAACAUAACUGACGCUGAAUGCGCGAAAGCGUGGGAGCAAACAGG